CUUUCCUGCCUCAGUGUCUUCAUACUUUGUUUCUUCAGACUGGAAGACUUUUCUCCUCUUAAGUGUAGUCAUGUCCUUUAUCACUUAACUGUCAGCUUAAAUGAGUCUAUGAGCAACCUUCCUUGAAUCACAAGUGUUUUGAUGGGGCUCUUCUGCCAGACUGUAAGUUAUACUGUGAGAACAUGUUCUCCUUUGACCAAUAGCUAAGACCUUUUAGCAGCAGAAUAUAUUUCAAUAUAACAGUGAAAAUCAGUGCAGGACAUUCUCACUGAGAGACCAGGGAAUGAGGGAUCACCUGGAUAGUGGAGGAAGGACAAGGAUGAUACUAACCAGGUUUGAGGUGAUAGCUUGAGCAUCACUGAGUUCAACCUAGGACUUAGGUCCAGAAAGGUUUGGGAGAGAGCCAUCGUGUCCCUUAACAGGGCCACACUAUGCAGUUUGGAGUUUCUUGAUGUAACAGUGGAGGCCUAGAAAUAGCCUAUGUGCCCAAGAAUCCUUUUCCCUCAGGAAGCAAUGCCAAACUGUAAUGGAGCCAAUGUGAUGGUGAUUCUGCCAGUCUAGUUAACAGGAAAAUCAAACAAGCUCAUAGAAGUUAGCUGACAGAAUUCAUAGGAAGAACUGGAUCCGGAGGAAUUAGAUGGUUAAAGAAUCUAAUUACGCACCCAAUUGGCAUCCUGCUCUCAGCCUUCACAUCUGAUCAUGGGUCCUCAUCCUACAACGAGGGAUUCUAAGUUUUAUCCUUGAAGUGUAUGAAAAGCUACUUCCUGAAUAUGAGGGCUGAGCUAUGUCUUCAUUCUCAUAUUUCAGAAUAAAGAUCCAUAAUCCUAGUAAAUUCUGAAGCUACUGUGUCAUGAAAUGCAGAAGUUCACAAACAUCUGUCAACACUUGCUGAUGAGACUGCUGAAGCAGCAAGGUUAGAUUGUCCUCACCUGCAGCGACCUACCUUUGGAGAAGAGAUCCUGGAUCCAGCGUAACACAAAUGAAGAUUCUUCUGUUUCAGGCUGUGAUGACUCUUGGUAGGAAUAUCUCAGCAUCAUGUGAUUCCUACCACGUGAGAAUGGAGCAAAGCAGCCUCUUUGCCGCCCCAAGCUCAGUGCUCCGUAGACUGAAAAGAAGAUGCAGUCGACAAACAGCUGAGGAGGCUUCAUGAAUGCUGCACACAGCAACUUCAGAGUUCCUCUCUGAACAGGUCUCCAGUUGAUUGGAUGAGAUCCAGCUGCCUUAGGGAGGGCGUCUGCUCAGCUCAGUCUACCAAUUCGAAUAUUAAGCUCAUCCAGAUACACCCUCUCAGACACCCCCAGAAAGUAUGACCAAA
rnacentral:lncRNA from 1 species